rnacentral:misc_RNA from 1 species
GAUGAAGAACGCAGCGAAAUGCGAUAAGUAGUGUGAAUUGCAGAAUUCAGUGAAUCAUCGAAUCUUUGAACGCACAUUGCACCCCUUGGUAUUCCAUGGGGCAUGCCUGUUCGAGCGUCAUUUGUACCUUCAAGCUUUGCUUGGUGUUGGGUGUUUGUCUCGCCUUUGCGUGUAGACUCGCCUUAAAAUAAUUGGCAGCCGGCGUAUUGAUUUCGGAGCGCAGUACAUCUCGCGCUUUGCACUCAUAACGACAGCGUCCAAAAGUACAUUUUACACUCUUGACCUCGGAUCAGGUAGGGAUACCCGCUGAACUUAAGCAUAUCAAUAAGCGGAGGA